rnacentral:sRNA from 1 species
UCGAAGCCUCGAAUUCUUUGCCCUCAGC